rnacentral:tRNA from 1 species
GGCAGUAUAGCUCAUGGUAGAGUGUGUGCUUAGCAUGCAUGAGGUACUGGGAUUAAACCCAGUACCUCCU